UUGAGAUCGUUAUUCAUUCGGUUCUUUCAUCAAAUGAAUGAGAAACGUGUUUUAAAUAAUGUAUUUAGGAACUGAGUUCAGUGUCACAGUGCUGUUUUUGUAUUUUUUUUUUUUUUGUUCAAAGAACCCCAAAGCUGAUUAGACUGACGAUUGAACACAAAGCUGAUUUGACUGACGAUUUAAACCCAAAGCUGGUUUGGCAGACGAUGCAUGAUCACAAUGCAGAUUAAAAAUUUGCAGAGAGAAUGUCAAUUGGCUUAAAAAAAGAUUUAACAUCAACCCCUGGAUUUCUUUUAAGGAUACAGAAGUACAGGAGAUGCUCAGCAAUCUGGCAUAGAAGGC